rnacentral:rRNA from 1 species
UACAGAGGGUGCGAGCGUUAAUCGGAAUUACUGGGCGUAAAGCGUGCGUAGACGGUUAUUUAAGUCGGGUGUGAAAGCCCCGGGCUCAACCUGGGAACUGCAUUUGUGACUGCAUGGCUAGAGUACGGUAGAGGGGGAUGGAAUUCCGCGUGUAGCAGUGAAAUGCGUAGAUAUGCGGAGGAACACCGAUGGCGAAGGCAAUCCCCUGGACCUGUACUGACGCUCAUGCACGAAAGCGUGGGGAGCAAACAGG